rnacentral:misc_RNA from 1 species
CUAUAAUUUGUACCUUUAGCAAUUGCUUCAACUUCUGAAAUUAUUUUUUUUCAUUGCCCAUGCAAAAUGGUACUAUUCAUGGAGGGGGUUUCUGCCCUAGUGGGUAGACCUUGUGCAAACUUAUUACCCCCUUUUUUCUGUCUUGCAGUCAACAUCAAUGACAAUAUAUGCUUACCACCCAAGACGGUUAAUUGAACAGUAGCAUUGCCACCACACCUAUGUC